UACGAAGGGUGCAAGCGUUACUCGGAAUUACUGGGCGUAAAGGGCGCGUAGGCGGCCUGGCAAGUGGAAGGUGAAAUCCCUCGGCUUAACCGAGGAACUGCCCUCCAAACUGCUUGGCUUGAGUCCGGGAGAGGUGAGUGGAAUUCCCAGUGUAGCGGUGAAAUGCGUAGAUAUUGGGAGGAACACCAGUGGCGAAGGCGGCUCACUGGACCGGAACUGACGCUGAGGCGCGAAAGCGUGGGGAGCAAACGGG
rnacentral:rRNA from 1 species